rnacentral:rRNA from 1 species
UAGCGUAUAUUAAAGUUGUUGCAGUUAAAAAGCUCGUAGUUGAAUUUCGGGGUCAGUAGGUCGGUCGUGCCACUGGUAUGAACUGGUUUUACUGAUUCCUCCCUCUUGAAGAACUGUAAUGCCAUUAAUUUGGUGUUGCAGGGAAUCAGGACUGUUACUUUGAAAAAAUUAGAGUGUUUAAAGCAGGCA